CAUUACGAAGCAAGAUGAUCAUAAUAUGUGAUUUUUAGCUUGUGUAUAUCAGUUUGUGGUGCAUCGGAAACUGUAUUUUUACACAAAACGAAUGCAAACUAGAGCACAUUCCACGGAAUCUAGAUGAUUAUGUUGAAUUUGGCACAAUAAGGGUGGAGGUGUAAGAAAAAAUCAUAGUUGAGGGGGGUAGAUGUAAUUAUCCAAACAAGAGGGGGGUUUUUGUAAUUUGACCAUACCUCA
rnacentral:lncRNA from 1 species